rnacentral:rRNA from 1 species
ACACUCCUGCGGGAGGCAGCAGUGGGGAAUAUUGCACAAUGGGCGCAAGCCUGAUGCAGCCAUGCCGCGUGUAUGAAGAAGGCCUUCGGGUUGUAAAGUACUUUCAGCGGGGAGGAAGGCAAUACGGUUAAUAACCGUGUUGAUUGACGUUACCCGCAGAAGAAGCACCGGCUAACUCCGUGCCAGCAGCCGCGGUAAUACGGAGGGUGCAAGCGUUAAUCGGAAUUACUGGGCGUAAAGCGCACGCAGGCGGUCUGUCAAGUCGGAUGUGAAAUCCCCGGGCUCAACCUGGGAACUGCAUUCGAAACUGGCAGGCUUGAGUCUUGUAGAGGGGGGUAGAAUUCCAGGUGUAGCGGUGAAAUGCGUAGAGAUCUGGAGGAAUACCGGUGGCGAAGGCGGCCCCCUGGACAAAGACUGACGCUCAGGUGCGAAAGCGUGGGGAGCAAACAGGAUUAGAAACCCUGGUAGUCCC